AGUGGGGUUGGAGAUCUCGAAUGUGGUGAUGUUGGAGAGACUAAUGGAUUGUGAAGAUGUUGCAUAUGAGCAUGGAGUAAAUGAAGUGGCUAUGAAAUAAAUUCCAUGCUCAUUAAUGCUUAGUGUGAAAUCCAUGUGGUGUGGUGAAAAUGGUAAGGUGAGUGUGGUAAAAAAAGGAAAAGAAAAAGGAUACACGGACGACUU
rnacentral:lncRNA from 1 species